rnacentral:rRNA from 1 species
UACGUAGGGUGCGAGCGUUAAUCGGAAUUACUGGGCGUAAAGUGUGCGCAGGCGGCCAUGCAAGUCGAGUGUGAAAGCCCCGGGCUUAACUUGGGAAUUGCGCUCGAAACUACGUGGCUGGAGUGUGGCAGAGGAAGGUGGAAUUCCACGUGUAGCGGUGAAAUGCGUAGAGAUCUGGAGGAACACCGAUGGCGAAGGCAGCCCCCUGGGUUAACACUGACGCUCAUGCACGAAAGCGUGGGGAGCAAACAGG